GGUUAAGCGACUAAGCGUACACGGUGGAUGCCCUGGCAGUCAGAGGCGAUGAAGGGCGUGCUAAUCUGCGAUAAGCGCCGGUAAGGUGAUAUGAACCGUUAUAACCGGCGAUACCCGAAUGGGGAAACCCAGUGUGACUCGUCACACUAUCAUUAACUGAAUCCAUAGGUUAAUGAGGCGGAACCGGGGG
rnacentral:rRNA from 1 species